GGCUCUUUGGCUCAACAGGCAGAGCACCGGCGUGAAGAUCCGGUGGUCAGGGUUCGACUCCCUGGGGAGCCG
rnacentral:tRNA from 1 species